rnacentral:lncRNA from 1 species
AUGGGUAGUACAGGUCUUGGCAAAGAGCAGUACAGAAAUAGUGAGAAAGAAAUAUGCAAGCUUGUACUGAUGGGAAUGGAACAAAAAGAUAUGAUUUCUUGGAACAAUUCAACAUGGGGGAUAAGGAGUAGCAUCAACUUGUGGGUUGCAUCAACGAAGUACGGAAGCUUGCAGCUGCCGAUGAUGCAAGGACAGAAACAUCAACAGAUGUCAUUUUCGGCAAGGCAUCUAAUCCACCGUGUCAUUGUCCUAAGCAAGGCAAGCAAACAAGCACCAUAUGGUGGUCACGCAAAAAUUAAACCUACACCCAUCCAGCGAGAAGCUCGAAAGAUGGCAACAUCAACGCUGACAAGAGCUGUUCCUGUUGGCGGUGGAUCCCACCGUUGAACAUGGACGC